AUUCCCCGUUCGCGGGGCCGGGGAAGCCGUUCGAGCAGCGUCGUGUCGCGGUCCGGGACUGUCCUCAGUCCCGGGUCGUCUCGGCGCGGUUCCGAGCGGUCGCUCCCUCGCGAGGUGCUGCGGGUCAGCGGCUGACGCCAGCCACCUUCCCGACCCGUCUUGAAACACGGACCAAGGAGUCUAACAUGUGCGCGAGCCGCGGGGCAGUACGAAACCCGUAAGGCGAAAUGAAGGUGAACGCCGGCGCGGUCCGGCGGAGGUUGGAUCCCGUCCCGUCGGGGCGGGCGCACUACCGGCCGAUCUUCUCCGCCCUGUCGGCGAGGUCGAGCGAGAGCGUGCAAGUCGGGACCCGAAAGAUGGUGAACUAUGCCUGAGGAGGUUGAAGCCAGAGGAAACUCUGGUGGAGGACCGUAGCGAUUCUGACGUGCAAAUCGAUCGUCAAAUUUGGGUAUAGGGGCGAAAGACUAAUCGAACCGUCUAGUAGCUGGUUCCCUUCGAAGUUUCCCUCAGGAUAGCUGGCGCUCUGUCGCAGUUUUAUCUGAUAAAGCGAAUGAUUAGAGGUCUUGGGGGCGAAACGCCCUCAACCUAUUCUCAAACUUUAAAUUGGUAAGAAGCCCGACUCGCUCGUUUGGAGCCGGGCAUGGAAUGCGAGUGCCAAGUGGGCCACUCUUGGUAAGCAGGACUGGCGAUGCGGGAUGAACCGAACGCCGGGUUAAGGCGCCCGACGCGACGCUCAUCAGAGCCCACAAAAGGUGUGGA
rnacentral:ncRNA from 1 species